UAUUUUCCAUAAGGAUUAUGGGUACAGCAUCGGACAGUUACAUAAGUUUGCCGGAAGAACCACACAGGAGAAUGCAUAUUGCUUUCUAUCAAAAUCCAGAAUGAAAAUUAUACUAUAUCGUUUUGCUUUCGCAGGUGCGUUGGCAUGAUGCAGCGGUUUACAUGUAUCGCCACGUGCGGUGAGCUCCGCGGGUUAGUAAAGCGCUCAUACGUGUCAUCGCUGGCCUCCCCCUUGAAUAGGACCUAUUCCACAAUGCCAAAACAGCCCCAAUGCCGUUCAUCGACGUCUAUCUAUACGUGCACCGCGGGUCCGCUUGGAGAACCGACCGCACGAUGUAGCUUGCAUAACGUGCGGCGACAAAGUGGGGUUUUCUCCCAUGAGAAAUACAGACACUACUGCACAGAGAGCGAGAAUGAACGGAAGCGCCUUGGCGGCCAUGGUCAUCAUGGCAUCACAGUUGUCGGCAUCCCUGAUCCACUCACGUGGAUUCGGAAUAAAGUCCACAUCUACCUGAUAGAACUCUAUUUUCAAUUGGGCAUUAACAAUGUGGAAUUUGACAAUGGAGUCAAGCAGGCACUGGUCCAUGUCUCCACCAUGAUGUCCAAUGGCAACUUUGAGGAGCUGAGAGGGUUGGUAUCAACAGAGAUGGUGGUCUAUGCGCAACAGAGGUGUAGGGCUCUCUCAGAAACCCAAAGAAGACAUCUAGCUAUCUCAUUGGACGAUAUUAUAUUUGUAGGAAGUUUUGCUUCAUUGUGAUGAGGUUCUGGCAUAUGUCCACUGCUGAUGUUCCUGAGGACCCGGAGAGUACAAAGAUAUUCAAAAUGGCCGCCACUGAAGAAGAAGGCCCACAGAAGAAGAUAGUGACAGCUGUCUAUGAAUUUCACCGGGAGCUGACCAGGGGAGCUGAACCUGAUUGGACAGUCACUAACAUCUGGCACUGGCACUGGAAACAGAUUGGGUGAUUGGACAAGACCCAUGAACACCUCUGUCACCAGGAUACAGCAUCAGACCAAGCAUACACAGCACCGUUGACCUAAUUCAGUUCCGACAACAUUCAACUCAACAAAACAUUAUUAACCAACAGGACUUCAAUCAGCAGGACCAUUGUACUCAGCCAAGCGCACCCAAACUCAACUGAACCAUUACAAGUCAACAGAAGAGUCACCUUGAGUCCUAGCUGCUUUGUAGGGUGGACUGGAUGGAACCAGAGCCCUACACACUGAAAUACAGAUGUAUUAUUUCUCCCUAAGUUCUCCAAUCUGAGGUUUGUUGGGAACAAUAGACUUUAUCUGAAUCUCCUCAGCAUGAACAAUUAGUGCCUACAAUAUCCCUGCUGUUACAGUUUGUCCCAGAACAAAAUAAACUGAUUCAUGGUUCAAA